rnacentral:lncRNA from 1 species
AAAAAAAAAAACAAACAUUUCGAUCAUGGAUUACAAAAAAAAAACAAACAUUUCGAUCAUGUACUACAAAACAUUCGAUCAUGGAUUACAAAAAAUUCUAUCAUGGGUUACAAAAAAAAAAAACAAAACAAAAAAAUCGAUCAUGGAUUACAAGAAAAGAAAACAAACAUUUCGAUCAUGGAUUACAAAAAAUUCUAUUAUGGGUUACAAAAA